CUUUGACACUGACAGACAACAUGUUUUCGACUUGUUGACAUUGUGAAAGAGGUGUAAUGGUCUACAAAACGGUAUUUCAAAUGCACUGACAUUCUUCAAUCGUAUGUUUCCGAGCUAUAUGUGAUCACAACUAUAUGCGGGUUCAAGUCUUGUUCAACUGCUGUGCCAUGGUUCAAGCUUGUUCAUUAAAAUCGGUGAUAUUCUUGGAACAACGAAUUGGCGUUAAGCUGUCACCUACACAGGGCUGAAAUGAUCUUGGACCAGUACAGACAGAAAGCCCAGCUGUAUAAGAAUGAUAUUUUACCGGUGCCUUUGGGAGACGACUUUAGAUAUGACAAACCUGAUGAAUGGGACAACCAUUUCAACAACUACCAGAGGCUGUUUGAUCAUAUCAAUGGUAGACCAGAGUU